UAAAGUCCAUAAGAUAACGUAUAUGUGUGCUCCUUCUAAGCUAAAUUGUGUGGUGAACUUAUUUAAGUUGACUGUUUUUCUACCGACUUUACUGAAAACUAACGUGUUUUCUUUUUCAUGUACUGUCCCUACGCCAAUGUUGUUUGGGAUGUGGUUCGUCUGUUUUGCCGACGCCAUCUUGGGUAGAGCGCCAUCUUGUCAGACAACAUCAACACGCUGUUUACUCAAGACAGUUUGGGUGUUUUGUUGGGUCAUCCUUAAGGGGUGUGGCCUGUACCUAUUUGAAGCGUGCACAUGGAGUGCUGAGUAGCGCUCUGUGGCUGGCGAGGGCUCUGAGGUACAUCGCUCAGCGGCUUGUGAUCGCUCUGUGGCUGAUGGUGGUUGGUGCUGUCGGUCUACUGCUGCUGCUCUCAUUCGGCGUGCCUCACGCACAUCGACCUCGUUUGCUGACGACGUGGGGGAUAUUGGCACAUUCAAGUUAAAGUUGCCAAAUACGACCACUUCACUGGGCGCUGGUGCUCAGACCGGCUGCUUCCUCUCUGCUGCCGGGAGAGGAGCGACAUCCUGCUGACGUGCGGAUGCCGAGUUGGGGUUUUCGGAGCUAGAGAGAGGACACUGAAAUGCGGAGGUGCACGGAGGAGACGACAGUGGUCGAGGAAACCAGACCACAGACUUGCUCGGAAAAGAUGGAACUAAAAACUGGACCACGGACUUCAGACGGUCCAGCUUGGUGAGAAACAUCCGGUGCAUUCGGGAGCUAAGGAGCACCAAACCGGACCAACAAACUCACCUAAUCCUAGACAAAACUUUAAUAAAUACCUUUUAAGGUUUUAAAACUG